rnacentral:sRNA from 1 species
UACAUCAGGCACGAGAUUAGGUACUGAGC